UCUUGGUGAUGAUGAGCUGGACCCAAGGCGCGGAGGGGUUCAGGCAGAUCAUCUGCCCCUGCUUCGUCGUGGCUCUGGGGGCGAGUGGAGAGGACUAUGCUACUUCCUGAAUGUGGCAGUAACAGAACUGCAGAAAUCCCCAAGGUCAAAAGUGAAGCCAAGAGCCUGCUCCACCUAUGUGAUUAACCCUGCCCUUGAGCUAAGAAUUUGAACCUCUUGGAUGAAAAGCUGUGCACACAAGAAGACCCUAAAGACCUGGAAGCCAAAGCUUUCACUGGAAUUCAUUCGCCUGCCCUGAGGCUGCCAGUGACUUAAGAACUGCUGAUGAGACAUAACA